AGCAGAAUCGAGUCGUAUGUGUGGAGGGACAGUAACUGUGUGUGUGUAAGCAUUUAAACACUGCAGAGCGUACAAUUAACAGUAACAGUAUUGUAGAAAUUCAUUUCACCGAAACAGUAACGUGGCGCACACUGUGAUGUCAAAAAAGGCGCACAUCUUUGACGCUGCGUUUUCUCCGUUUUUCUCGUCCACACGUAAAUGCAAAAACGGAAUUUUAGAAAAUAUCCACCCUGGCCAGAGUUUUUAGAAAUCUCCGUUUUCAGUGACCGAAAACGCCGUUUACGUGUGGACGAAAGGUGCAAACGCAUAGAAAAAUCUGCGUUUUCAAAAAUACCCGUGUACGUGUGGACAUAGCCGCAGAGUCAACGGUCGGCGCCAAUUUUGACGUCACACUGCGCUACGUUUUUGUCUCGGUGCUAUGAAAUUCUACAAUGGCAGCCUUAGACAAAAUACUGUUAAGUAUAUUCAGUGUUUAAAUGCUUACAUUUACACACACAGUAACUGUCCCUUCACACAAAGGACUCGAUUCAUCUUCUAUGAGCUGUCUUUGUAUCUAGUUUUCCCUCUUUAUUGACGUUGUUCCUUAUUUCUCCUCUUUUCUUCAGACCACAUUUGGUUACUACCAUCCACCCAUCAAUACACCAAAUCCCCUGUACACGUAUAGUGACUCAGAGGAUGAGCAGCCCACAAAAAAAAGGUUUCCCCAGGCCCCUCGAGUGAAAAUACCAGCCCUCAACGCUUGCAGUCUUCCCCCAGCCCACUGACAGCAGACAUCAUAAUGCCCCUCCCAGCUUCCGGCACCUUUCGCCACUCCGGGAGAACAUUCCGAACGACACACCUUUACAAUCUCCCCAGCAUGCAGAGUCUGAUGUAGAGGCCUUCCCUAUAGAUGAUUCCAGAGACUCUGUGAGGCCACUAUUACAAGAUGCGACCGCACAAAAGAUUUUAACAAUGCUGUCAGACCUGACGAGAUCUGUCAACGAACUGCGUGAGGAGGUCAGAGCCAUCCGCAAUACCGGCUCAAAUGAAUCUCUAGAUGCUGGGGUACUCCCUUUGGAUUUGCCCUUAAACAGCAUUGAGGAGCUAAACCAUAUAGAGGCACCUCUUACGUCGCAAGAGGCAAUUAAGGCAAUGGUGAGACGCUUUGCCUUAAUUGGAGGGACCACACUUGAGGUGCGAGUCCACCGUGUAAUGGCUUAUGCCAUUACAAAUGAGCUGGCCUCACUGCUAAACUGGGCAGGGAAAAAAACAAAGGACCACACGAAGCAAAAAAGGGCAUUUAAAGAUACUGCGCUGUGCAGAUGCAUAUUUGAUGGCCUGACGCAGCAGUUAGGGGCAAACUCGAUGUCAGAGUUUCUCUUUGCACAGGCAGUGCAGAAGUGGCUAC
ensembl:lncRNA